UCCCUGCUGCUCUGACACCGACGGAAACGCGCGGGCAGCCAUUUUGGAACAGCUGCAUGGUGCUCCACGUAAUGGAGGACCACUGCAACCAGUCAAAAAUGUGCCCAACGUAAAGUGGUGCGUGAAGCGGAGCUGCGUGUUUGGUGGGAUUUUCAGCAGCCCGCUCGCCGUGGCGGCAGAGCUUAAGCAGCUUGCUCACCUGACAGCGAGCCUGCUGGGCCGGCGAUACAGCGAGAAGGCCUUGCGAGAGCCCCGAGGCGAGAGGGAUGGGGGCCGAGGAGAAGCUGGGAAAAGAAGGAAUCUGGCCCGGAGAGACUCCGCUGUGCCGCGGCCAUUAAAAAUAUAACAAGCGCUGAACGGCACGGCGACUGUAGCUGUAGGAAGAAGGCUGGCUGCCAUGAGGCUUCUUGUUUCAGAAAUGAAAAGGUGAGGUCUGAGCGCAGCGGCGGCUCACCUCUGUAGGCUGCUUAUGGUGAGACGCAGUAACUGUCAGGGCCUUUUGUUCACUGUUGCUAACUAAGCACAAACAAACACAUUGUUUUGCUAUCACUAUUGUUUUGAUAUUCUGUUAGGCCUGGCCACCCACACCGAGUCUAUUCCUACCUGAAAAUGGAAGGUUCUCCUUGAGAAGACACAAGAAUUGUAUCAUCAGGAUUUGCCUGAUCUGCUGUAGUUUUGUUGUCAUUUUGUGACACUAUUUACUGAGGUUCUGCAUGAUAAUAAAUACGACAAAUGAUGAUGGUCCCUCUGUGGAAAAGUUCACUAAUAUUGGGUCAAAAUGUGAGUCAGAAAGGAGCAGGAGACGACAGACGUCACCUUUGUCAUGUGGUUCCUUCAGUCAUGACCCCUGUGAGGGUUGAAUCAUUAUUACAGUCAGCAGCAAGACAGGAAGUGAGCGUCCAGAGAGGAGCACUAGCAAGAGUAGUUCGCAAUGAAAAUGAUGGUCGAGUUUUAUGCAGCAGGUUUGGGAAAGGUUGCUCUGUUCCUGUGUGGUGCGCAUCACUAUUGUGUUGCCUGUAACUCACCAGCUAAGGCAUCAUGAAAAUGCUGUGGAAGAAUGGAUUUGUAGACUUUUAUUUUUCUCUCUCCAUCUCUGAGACAAAGACCGUGACGACCCGCUGACUCUGGGGGAAAAAAAAUAAAAAACGUGAUUUUCCAAGGUUCAGAACAAAAGACCAAUGUUACUCUUCACGUUUUAACCGGUGGUGACCGGAGCUCUGGCUGCCCAUGAGCGAGUGUGAGACCUGCCUGUUUAAAGCUCCACAUUUGAAUCCUCUUGGUUAUCCGCCACAUCCACCCACCGUUGGUGUCGAUCUCCAUUCAUUAUCACGCUGCUCAAAUUUGGUUUGGCUUGUUGCUUUUGAAAUCAAUGCCGACGAUUCCUCGUGUCGUCCGGACGCUUGUUGACGCCGCUCCUCGUGUGAAGAGCCAUCCAUGUGGCGCUGUCGAUUGCAGGCUACUGUAACUUUUUCAUUCCGAUCAGGUGGAACGCUUCAGUGGUCAAAGGUCGACCUCUCCUCGUUUCAUGUCAUGCUGGAACUCCUGUCUCAUUUGGACUCCCUUCUGUGGUCAUGUGAUCGAGGAGCCAGCGGCCCGCUGUGAAUUGAGUCCGACCCACAAGGUCAGUGAAUGCAGAGAGUGACAGGAGACGCCUCCGCUGGACGCCCUGCUGCUGACCUCUGACCUCGGCUGAAAGCCUGGCUUUCAGAGUGGCAACAUAAAUUUUAGAGAUUCAACAGCCACUUCAACAAACAGAACCGUCUGAGGCUUGAGUUGAAUUCUCAAACCGAGUUUCAGAACUUUGGCUUUUAUGUUGAAUCCAUCAAGCUUUUCACCACGUCUUUAUAUAAGAUCAGGCGAAUAGACCAAUACCAUGAAGCUAGAGGCGCAGUGUGAGACAGUAUUUGACACUGGGAGUGAAACAGGCCCAUCGCCUGUGUGUUCACAUGGUACAGUCCCGUGAUUGGCUUCGACCGGACUUCUCUUAGCAGCAGUGGAAGACGCUGUCAUUAUAGAGCAGGAGAUAGAAAAACAUGGGCAAUCGCCAAACCAUGUUAAAUCUGGGAAAUGACUGCAUUGCGGUGGGUUUUCUUUUGCAACACAUCUGGAAGUUAGCGUACAUAGUUUAGCUAGAUGGCAUUGCUGGGGCUACAUACAUUUGUUUUCAUGAUGUUGGAUGAAUCCAUCAUUUUUGUAAGUUGAUAUUGCCAGUCAAAUUCCAGUUCCAGUCAACAAACAUGGAUUCAGCCCAGUUUUUUUAGAGCGGUGUACAACCAGGGGACACUUACAUCCACCUGAGCUUUUGGUCGCAGGAUGCCUUACUUCAGUCCUUCUCAAAUAGUGGGUCAUGUGACCUAAGGGAACACUUUUUUGCCGUACUAGAAUAAAGUAUAAUUGCACACCCACUUUUUUUAAUUUCAGGCAAGUUGAUGCACGUUUCUGUUGCAGACAAAAACAAUGUUAAUAAAGUUAUUCUUUAUUGGAGGUUGAUCAAUAUUGCAUUCUUUUUUCUUCCUUUUCUACUUUUUUUAUAGACAAAUGAUACUAUUUACAGAGGCGGCGGACAAAUAAAAUAAUUGAGAAGCGCUGCCUUACAUGGUGAUGCUAUGGUGUUGGAACUAGAGGAGCAUCUCAGCAGCUUUGCUUGUAGCUGACUGUAGCUCUGACUGCCCUACUGUAG